GCUAUAUUUUUCCUUGGGCUCUGAAGCUAAGUUUCGUGAUUUCAAGAAUGUGAAAUAAACUAGAAGGAAAAAUUCUAGUUGAUGCUUUUUAAACAAGGGGUUUAUUCCAGCGUACACCCAUAUUUUUUAUUGUUAGUGGUCAGAGAGGAGGACUGUCAAAGGCGUAGAGAUACAUAACUGCAUGUAGUAAGGCUCCUAUAAGUCAUGAUAGCAAAAAACUGUGUAAAUGGACUAUGAUCAUACAGGAUUGUGUAAUUUGAUUCACCGAUCAAAGCAGUGUAGUAACUGAUCUGGAAUAGCUGAGGCCUAUUGAGAACUACUAAUUUGGGCAGCAAUGGCAGAUCAAUCCAACAGCAGUUAGGGAAUCACAGAAUAUAAAUGAUUCAUUUCCCCAAAAUUAAGGAUUAGCAAUUCCAGUUCAGUGCCUGUGAAAUGGCCUAAUGCCUUGUCUGCUUCUUAUUUUUCUGUCAGGCUUAACUUCUGCAGCUGUGAGGCUUCAACCUCAGCAGCACCUGCCAUGGUUGCCCUCAGUGCACUCCUGGUUACUACACCAACCUCAUCAGCCUGUUACUUCCUCAAUUAUUUUUAAUCCCUCUAAAGGAAAAGAAUUGCAGCCUAAAGCAAACAGACACAAGAGUGUUUCAGGGUAGCUAUAUACUCAAACAUGGGCAGUCAUAAAGCAUUAAGAUGCCUUCAUUGAUGCUUUGAAGACCUCACUGUCUCACUCAAGCUGGGAACUCUACUUUGUCUUAAAGUGUACAAAAGAUUUGGAAAAAAUUUUAAAUAUAUUGAUAAUUAAUUUGAACUGGAAAUUAUUAAAUUGAAGUUACCAAAUGUAGACUUAUGUAUAAUGCUAUUUUAAUACUGUUUCCAACAGUAAAUUGUCAAAUGUCUACAUUGAUAACAGUGGUUUCGGGCUUGAAAGAGGAGACGAGAUCCUUGUGUGCUGUUAAAAUUAAAGCCCUGUUAAAUAGAAUUGCAUGCACUGACAAGUUCUCCUCUGUUUUAAAUCCUCUGGAUGUACUGUUUCUCUCCUGACGAUGGUAUUAUACAGUUUUACUCAAUAUACCUGUAACUGUUGUUAAAAAGUAAAAGCCAUAAAAAGAUAUUUCCUUCAG
rnacentral:lncRNA from 1 species